GGAGUCUGGCUGCUGUUUCUGCUUCACGAGUGAUAUUCGACGGUGUCAAAGCCUAAACCAAGUGGAACGGAGGCACACAUGUGUGAAACUGCCCAACUGACCUUUCGACUCUGAACCUGCCAUAAGCACGAUAAUGGAACGCUGGCCUGCUCUAUUCACAGAAGACCAGAUCUACAUGAAGUACAGUAGGAUUGUGGGCAAGAACCUCAAAAAAUAAUUCUUUGAGGGCAUCGAUCGGCACAGUCCUUGUCUCGUUGAAAUAUUUUGAUGUAAGAGAGGGAUCAUUGGGCAGCAGUUGACUCAGCUAUCACAAGAGACCAAGACUACAGAUCCAACAGAUAUUCGUACAAUGAUGCUCAGAGGCCUUCUCCAAUGACUUUUUCAAAGCUUGCUUUGACUCAGAUGAUGAUGAUUCCUACCAACACAUCGACAUUAGGAUCCUUCUUGUUGAGCAGUCAACAAGAAGAUGCUGCAUCUCUAUCCAGCAUCUUUGAAGAUAAUCAUUGAGGAAAAAGUGGUGAUGGUUAACAUUGAAGACCUGCUGAGGGCUGUUUGUCUUAUAUUUGGACUUGCAUACGCACUUCACCUCAACUACCCCAAGUCGAUGAAGCACAGAUUCCAGUUCAUUCAACAGGUACUUCUAUCGUUGGGCCAGAGUGCGCUAAAACCAAGGUUGCAAACACUGAAAAAUGUAAUGAUCUUAAGUGAAGGUCAAUGUGGUUUUAGGUCAGUUAAUACAAGAUGGUUUAAAAAAGGCCAUGCACCCACAAAAACUCAAAAUCCACAAUUUGCUUUGCCCUUUCUACAUGACUGUAUCUGUAAAAAUAAUUCUGUGGGUAUAUUUCUGACUAUUUUUCUUACGAACACAAAUUAAUUUGUUAACACUCGAUGUAUAACA